UCAGCGGCGGACGGGUGAGUAAUGCCUAGGAAUCUGCCUGGUAGUGGGGGACAACGUUUCGAAAGGAACGCUAAUACCGCAUACGUCCUACGGGAGAAAGCAGGGGACCUUCGGGCCUUGCGCUAUCAGAUGAGCCUAGGUCGGAUUAGCUAGUUGGUGAGGUAAUGGCUCACCAAGGCGACGAUCCGUAACUGGUCUGAGAGGAUGAUCAGUCACACUGGAACUGAGACACGGUCCAGACUCCUACGGGAGGCAGCAGUGGGGAAUAUUGGACAAUGGGCGAAAGCCUGAUCCAGCCAUGCCGCGUGUGUGAAGAAGGUCUUCGGAUUGUAAAGCACUUUAAGUUGGGAGGAAGGGCAGUAAGUUAAUACCUUGCUGUUUUGACGUUACCGACAGAAUAAGCACCGGCUAACUUCGUGCCAGCAGCCGCGGUAAUACGAAGGGUGCAAGCGUUAAUCGGAAUUACUGGGCGUAAAGCGCGCGUAGGUGGUUUGUUAAGUUGGAUGUGAAAGCCCCGGGCUCAACCUGGGAACUGCAUC
rnacentral:rRNA from 1 species